rnacentral:rRNA from 1 species
UACGUAGGGUGCAAGCGUUGUCCGGAAUUAUUGGGCGUAAAGAGCUCGUAGGCGGUUUGUUGCGUCGGCUGUGAAAUCCCGAGGCUUAACCUCGGGUCUGCAGUCGAUACGAGCAAACUAGAGUGUUGCAGGGGAGACUGGAAUUCCUGGUGUAGCGGUGAAAUGCGCAGAUAUCAGGAGGAACACCGGUGGCGAAGGCGGGUCUCUGGGCAACAACUGACGCUGAGGAGCGAAAGCGUGGGGAGCGAACAGG